ACGGGAGGCAGCAGUGGGGAAUAUUGGGCAAUGGAGGGAACUCUGACCCAGCAAUGCCGCGUGAGUGAAGAAGGUUUUCGGAUUGUAAAACUCUUUAAGUGUGGAAGAAGAAAGUGACAGUACACACAGAAUAAGCAUCGGCUAACUACGUGCCAGCAGCCGCGGUAAUACGUAGGAUGCGAGCGUUAUCCGGAAUGACUGGGCGUAAAGGGUGCGUAGGUGGUGUAUCAAGUUAGUAGCGUAAUCCCGUGGCUUAACUGCGGGGCUACUACUAAAACUGAUAUACUCGAGUGUGGUAGGGGUAUGUGGAAUUCCCAGUGUAGCGGUGGAAUGCGUAGAUAUUGGGAGGAACACCGGAGGCGAAAGCGACAUACUGGGCCAUAACUGACACUGAGGCACGAAAGCGUGGGGAGCAAACAGGAUUAGAUACCCUGGUA
rnacentral:rRNA from 1 species